GCCCACUUUCUAGCCCCAACAACAUUAAUACCCCAACACCCCCAAGAUAACCAAAAUAAAACAUUUUAACUUUUUAGUAGAGGUGAUCGAAAUCUACCUAGGCGCUUCAGAAACAGUACCGCAAGGGAAGCAUGAAAUAAAAAUGAAAUAACCCCAAAGCCUAAAAUAGCAGAGCCUCUAACUCGUACCUUU
rnacentral:rRNA from 1 species